rnacentral:rRNA from 1 species
CCUACGGGAGGCAGCAGUAGGGAAUCUUCGGCAAUGGACGAAAGUCUGACCGAGCAACGCCGCGUGAGUGAAGAAGGUUUUCGGAUCGUAAAACUCUGUUGUCAGAGAAGAAUGUUGAUUAGAGUGGAAAAUUAAUCAAGUGACGGUAUCUAACCAGAAAGGGACGGCUAACUACGUGCCAGCAGCCGCGGUAAUACGUAGGUCCCGAGCGUUGUCCGGAUUUAUUGGGCGUAAAGCGAGCGCAGGUGGUUUAAUAAGUCUGAUGUAAAAGGCAGUGGCUCAACCAUUGUGUGCAUUGGAAACUGUUAGACUUGAGUGCAGUAGAGGAGAGUGGAAUUCCAUGUGUAGCGGUGAGAUGCGUAGAUAUAUGGAGGAACACCGGUGGCGAAAGCGGCUCUCUGGACUGUCACUGACACUGAGGCUCGAAAGCGUGGGUAGCAAACAGGAUUAGAUACCCUGGUAGUCCACGCCGUAAACGAUGAGUGCUAGUUGUUUGGGGCUAUCCAGCCCUAGGUGACGCAGCAAACGCAUUAAGCACUCCGCCUGGGGAGUACGACCGCAAGGUUGAAACUCAAAGGAAUUGACGG